AUGGUGGUCGACGCCUCUUCCUGUCCAAGGGUCGACGCCUCUUCCUGUCCAAGGAUCGACGCCUCAUCUGGAAACGACGCCUCAUCUGGAGUCGACGCCUCAUCUGGAGUCGACGCCUCAUCUGAUGUCGACGCCUCAUCUGAUGUCGACGCUCGUGCCACUCCAGAGGUCGACGCUCGUUCCACUCCAGAGGUCGACGCUCCCUCUGGUCCGACGUCUCUGCCGUCUCCGGUUCCAGUGGUGGUUUUGGAGGUCGCACCGUAUCCGGUCCAGCCCUUCCAUGAGGCUCCAAUUCAGCCCGCAGAGACUUUGGCACCGGCUCAGCCCGUCCAAGGGGCUCUGUCUCCGGUCCAGCCCGUCCAAGGGGCUCUGUCUCUGGUCCAGCCCAUCCAAGGGGCUCUGUCUCAGGCCCAGCCCGCCCAAGGGGCUCUGUCUCCAGCCCAGCCCAUCCAAGGGGCUCUGUCUCCGGCCCAGCCCGUCCAAGGGGCUCUGCCCCCGGCCCAGCCUGCAGAGACUAUGUCCCCAGCCCAGCCUGCAGAGACUAUGUCCCUGGCCCAGCCUGCAGAGCUCCUCUACCGUAGACGCCGGGCCCCAAGAACCCGUCUCCUCCUCCUCUGCCGCAGACUCAGGCCUCCAAGGGCCCGUCGUCGCCUCCUCCUCUGCCGCAGAUGCAGGCCCCCAAGGGCCCGUCGUCGCCUCCUCCUCUGCCGCAGACGCAGGCCCCCAAGGGCCCGUCGUUGCCUCCUCCUCUGCCGCAGGCCCCCAAGAGCCCGUCGUCGCCUCCUCCACUGCCGCAGGUCCCCAAGAGCCAGUCGUCGCCUCCUCCUCGGCCACAGACGCAGGCCCCCAAGAGCCCGUCGACGCCUCCUCUGCCCCAGGCGCAGGCCCCCCGGACUCUGCUGGUUCCUGCCUCUUCUUCAUCGGGCCCUCGGUUCCUCUUGGCCCUCCCUCCGGGUCCCCCUCCUCCCGCCCUGCUCCUUGCUCCUGUGGGCGUCGGGAAUCCACCCUUUGAGGGGGGGUACUGUCACAACCUGUCCUGUCUCCCUGUUUGGUUCAGCCUUGUGUCUCCGUUUAUUGCUCCUACCUGCCUCUCGUUUCCUAAUCACCUUAGCUCCCUGCCCUCGUGUAUUUAAACCCCUUCUGUUCUCUGUUGUUUGUUGGAUCACUGUUUCAUUGUCCUGCGUGCCUCUUAUUAAAGACUUAUCGAACGUUCUCACCUGUCUGCCUGGUUUCCUCACCCGUGUUGGAUCCUCACUUCAUCUCCGCUCCGUUUGCCGGCACGUGUGA
rnacentral:lncRNA from 1 species